UGUCCGCCUCGCCUCCCAUACCUUAAGACAGACGCAAUGAGUGAGUAUCAGCUAGAUGUCGGUCUCUUGACAGUGACGGAUGUGUCCACCGUGAGUGGGCCAAUGCGCCGCGAAGAGGAUCUCAUGAGCUCAUGCACAAAUGCACUCAAGGCACUUCUCGGCGAGUUUGUCGAUUUACCGACGGAGGUAAAGAAGACGAAGUACGAGAGUGCGACGACCUUAGUACAGCUGCCGCAGCCGGUGAUGCAGCUGCCUCGCGAGAAGGCGCCGCCAAAGACGAAGCCGCUCACCGCAUGGCAGAAGUUUGCGCUCAAGAAGGGUAUCGACAUUCACCGCAAGAAGGCGAACCGCGUCUUUGACGAGGAUCGCCAGGUGUGGAAGGACAAGUGGGGCAAGCGUGCUCGCGAGGACCGCGACAAGUACGACUGGCUGCGCGAGGUGAAGCCUGGGUACAUGCCUGCCGAGGAUGGCGGCGACCCGUUCCUGGAUGACCGCCGCGCGAAGCAGGCUCGCCUAGAAAAGCAGAAGAAGAAGGAGGAGCACAACAAGCGCCGCUCCGAGCACCUGAUGCAGGCGCAGGAGGAGGUGAAGCACCUUUCGGCAGCUGCGCGAAACCUCGCCACGGCGUCCAACGGCAAGUUCGAAAAGACAAAGAAGUUUAAGAAGAACACAAAGCGUCUCGCUUGAGCCUCCCGGGAUCACAAGUGCGUCGUGGCGGGAGUAGGGUGUGCCGCGAGCGUAUCUCAUUUGCGCCUGCUUUUCUUAAUGAAGUCGUGCGCUUUCUUGCUCGCCACCUCUCCCCGUGGCGCAGAAGCUAGGCGGCCUUGUGUGUGCGCGCGCUUGCACGUGCGUGCGUGUGAUGUGAGGAGGAAAGGGCUGCACUCUCUCUCUGUCUCAUUACAGGCACUGACAGAGGUCUUACACCCUCACCUGCGUUCUCCUGCCCACAACAGGGAUAUUGUGGGUGCUCGACGCACAUACUUGCACGCAGACGCACUCCGCUGCGCGUUAGGCAGCAAGCGAACGGGAGAGGAGAGCAAGGCGCCGACCACUGUGACGAUGCUUGACAGAAGCGUUUUUCUUUUCUUUCUUCACUCCCCAUUGGUAACUCGAAUAAUGCGUUCCCUUUUGUUUUGUGUAUGUGUUGGUCGUUCUUGACAUUAUGAGGUAAACCACCGCACAUCGCACGCACGGCAUGAGUGGCACGCCCACUGGCGAAGCACAUGUUGGGCAUCGUGACGCAGCGGAGACUACUUGACGAUAGCGUGGUCUGGGGCGGAGAGCGUGAGACUCAGGUGCAAGCGCGGCUGCGCAAAGUGCGCCCGUCUUUCUUUUGUGACUUCUACGGCCACCUUUGACGUGCUCGUAGACCUCAAGAGGCGAAGCUUCGCACCUGCCGGUGGCCCAUGGCUCCGCGGGUGCAGGUGCCCACUGCUUCUUUUCGCCUUUUAUCUAUGCUCGUUAGACAACUGCAACGCCUUGCUUCACUGUGUGUCUGUAAAUCUGACUGCGCUUCUUUGGCAUUUACGCCGCGCGCACAAAAGCGGCUAGGUAAGAGCGAGCGCAUCACGCGCGCACAGCACUCAGGGCGGCUGAGAUCUCUUUCCGCACGCCCACGUGCUGGCGCGUCUUUUUCGUAUGUGCUUGGCUGUAUUUUCAGCAUCCACGGGCACUGCGAGCGUAACCACGCGCUUGAAGUCACCGCUGCGGUCAGUGCGUGCACAAAUCUGCUUUUUCCCUCUCUCAG
rnacentral:misc_RNA from 1 species